AAAUAUGAACAAGAAUAGAAUUCAAAUUUUUAUAUAUUAUGACGUGAUAAUUUCAUUCAUCAAGUUCACGUUAAAGUAGAACCAGCAGCAAGCUUAUACUCUGUUAAAGAUAGAAAUAUUUUAUAGAAUAUUGUCCAUUAUAUUUCCUUUUAGUGUAAGAUUAUUUUUGUUUUACAUUUAUUUCUUUUUAUUGUUAUUCAUAAUCCUAUAAAUAAGUUUCUCUUCUUUGUACUAUUUACAAGACCAUUAAUAGUACAAUUUACAAUAUUCUUGACAUGGUAACAGAGUAGGUUUAACUUGAUUUUGGGUUAAACUUACAAGCUUCCAUUUUCCGGCAAGCGGUCUCAUGUCACUUGUCCGUUCAAAUAUUUUUCUUUUUUUUUUUUUCCUUGCUAGCGGCCGGUCAAAUAUUUUUUGUUUUUUGUCUUGCUCCCGUCCGAUUUUCUCAUCAAAAUUUCCACAAAAUUAAGUGUCCCCAGACUUCCAAAAUUUCAUUCAAGAUUAAGGGAGCAGN
rnacentral:lncRNA from 1 species